rnacentral:rRNA from 1 species
UACGUAGGGUGCAAGCGUUGUCCGGAAUUAUUGGGCGUAAAGAGCUCGUAGGCGGUCUGUCGCGUCUGCUGUGAAAACUCGGGGCUUAACCCCGGGCCUGCAGUGGGUACGGGCAGACUAGAGUGCGGUAGGGGAGACUGGAAUUCCUGGUGUAGCGGUGAAGUGCGCAGAUAUCAGGAGGAACACCGGUGGCGAAGGCGGGUCUCUGGGCCGUAACUGACGCUGAGGAGCGAAAGCAUGGGGAGCGAACAGG